CGCCUUGCCAGCCCGCUCAGAAACUCAAAGGAAUUGACGGGGCCCGCACAAGCGGAGGAGCAUGUGGUUUAAUUCGAUGAUACGCGAGGAACCUUACCUGGGCUCGAACGUAAGAUGACUGUAGGUGAAAGCUUACAUCUCUUCGGAGCAUUUUACGAGGUGCUGCAUGGUUGUCGUCAGCUCGUGCCGUGAGGUGUCGGGUUAAGUCCCAUAACGAGCGCAACCCCUACCUUUAGUUGCCAUCAGGUUAAGCUGGGGACUCUAAAGGAACUGCCUACGCAAGUAGUGAGGAAGCGGGGAUGACGUCAAAUCAGCACGGCCCUUACGUCCAGGGCUACACACGUGCUACAAUGGCCGAUACAGAGGGCAGCUACCUGGUGACAGGAUGCAAAUCUCCAAAGUCGGUCUCAGUUCGGAUCGGAGUCUGCAACCCGACUCCGUGAAGUUGGAUUCGCUAGUAAUCGCGCAUCAGCCAUGGCGCGGUGAAUACGUUCCCGGGCCUU
rnacentral:rRNA from 1 species